UAGGGAAUCUUCGGCAAUGGGGGGAACCCUGACCGAGCAACGCCGCGUGAGUGAAGAAGGUUUUCGGAUCGUAAAGCUCUGUUGAUAAGGAAGAACGAGUGUGAGAAUGGAAAGUUCAUACUGUGACGGUACUUAACCAGAAAGGGACGGCUAACUACGUGCCAGCAGCCGCGGUAAUACGUAGGUCCCGAGCGUUGUCCGGAUUUAUUGGGCGUAAAGCGAGCGCAGGCGGUUAGAUAAGUCUGAAGUUAAAGGCAGUGGCUCAACCAUUGUAGGCUUUGGAAACUGUUUAACUUGAGUGCAGAAGGGGAGAGUGGAAUUCCAUGUGUAGCGGUGAAAUGCGUAGAUAUAUGGAGGAACACCGGUGGCGAAAGCGGCUCUCUGGUCUGUAACUGACGCUGAGGCUCGAAAGCGUGGGGAGCGAACAGG
rnacentral:rRNA from 1 species